CCUCGCGUAUAGACCGUACCCUAAACCGACACUGGUGGACUGGUAGAGAAUACCAAGGCGCUUGAGAGAACUGCGUUGAAGGAACUCGGCAAAUUGCACGCGUAACUUCGGAAGAAGCGUGACCCUUUUUUACGCAAGUAGAGGAGGGUGGCACAGACCAGGGGGUAGCGACUGUUUACCAAAAACACAGGGCUCUGCGAAGUCGCAAGACGACGUAUAGGGUCUGACGCCUGCCCGGUGCUGGAAGGUUAAGAGGAGAGGUGCAGGCUUUGAAUUGAAGCCCCAGUAAACGGCGGCCGUAACGAUAACGGUCCUAAGGUAGCGAAAUUCCUUGUCGGGUAAGUUCCGACCUGCACGAAUGGCGUAACGACUUCCCCGCUGUCUCCAACGCAGACUCAGUGAAAUUGAAUUCCCCGUGAAGAUGCGGGGUUCCUGCGGUUAGACGGAAAGACCCCGUGCACCUUUACUAUAGCUUUACACUGGCAUUCGUGUCGGCAUGUGUAGGAUAGGUGGUAGACUUUGAAGCGGGGGCGCCAGCCUUCGUGGAGUCAUCCUUGAAAUACCACCCUUACCUAUAUGGAUGUCUAACCGCGGUCCGUUAUCCGGAUCCGGGACAGUGUAUGGUGGGUAGUUUGACUGGGGCGGUCGCCUCCUAAAGAGUAACGGAGGCGCGCGAUGGUGGGCUCAGACCGGUCGGAAAUCGGUCGUCGAGUGCAAUGGCAUAAGCCCGCCUGACUGCGAGACUGACAAGUCGAGCAGAGACGAAAGUCGGUCAUAGUGAUCCGGUGGUCCCGCGUGGGAGGGCCAUCGCUCAACGGAUAAAAGGUACGCCGGGGAUAACAGGCUGACGACCCCCAAGAGUCCAUAUCGACGGGGUUGUUUGGCACCUCGAUGUCGACUCAUCGCAUCCUGGGGCUGGAGCAGGUCCCAAGGGUAUGGCUGUUCGCCAUUUAAAGCGGUACGUGAGUUAGGUUCAGAACGUCGUGAGACAGUUCGGUCCCUAUCUGCCGUGGGUGUAGGAAUAUUGACAGGAUCUGUCCCUAGUACGAGAGGACCGGGAUGGACGUAUCUCUGGUGGACCUGUUGUGGCGCCAGCCGCAUAGCAGGGUAGCUAUAUACGGACGGGAUAACCGCUGAAGGCAUCUAAGCGGGAAACCCACCUGAAAACGAGUAUUCCCUAUCAGAGCCGUGGAAGACCACCACGUUGAUAGGCCGGGUGUGGAAGUGCGGCAACGCAUGAAGCUUACCGGUACUAAUAGCUCC
rnacentral:rRNA from 1 species